CCCUUAGAUGUUCUGGGCCGCACGCGCGCUACACUGAUGCAUUCAACAAGCCUAGCCUUGACCGAGAGGUCCGGGUAAUCUUUGAAACUGCAUCGUGAUUGGGCUAGAUUAUUGCAAUUAUUAAUCUUCAACGAGGAAUGCCUAGUAAGCGUGAUUCAUCAAAUCGCGUUGAUUACGUCCCUGCCCUUUGUACACACCGCCCGUCGCUCCUACCGAUUGAAUGUGUUGGUGAGGAGCUCGGAUUGGCAGCAGUUGGUGGUUCGCCACCGGCUAUUGCUGAGAAGUCCUCCAAACCGCCCCAUUUAGAGGAAGGAGAAGUCGUAACA
rnacentral:rRNA from 1 species